rnacentral:rRNA from 1 species
UGGGGAAAAGAAACCAACUGGGAUUGCCUUAGUAACGGCGAGUGAAGCGGCAAAAGCUCAAAUUUGAAAUCUGGUACCUUUGGUGCCCGAGUUGUAAUUUGGAGAGUACCACUUUGGGACUGUACUUUGCCUAUGUUCCUUGGAACAGGACGUCAUGGAGGGUGAGAAUCCCGUGUGGCGAGGGUGUCAGUUCUUUGUAAAGGGUGCUCGAAGAGUCGAGUUGUUUGGGAAUGCAGCUCUAAGUGGGUGGUAAAUUCCAUCUAAAGCUAAAUACAGGCGAGAGACCGAUAGCGAACAAGUACAGUGAUGGAAAGAUGAAAAGAACUUUGAAAAGAGAGUGAAAAAGUACGUGAAAUUGUUGAAAGGGAAGGGCAUUUGAUCAGACAUGGUGUUUUGCGCCCCUUGCCUCUCGUGGGCUUGGGACUCUCGCAGCUCACUGGGCCAGCAUCGGUUUUGGCGGCCGGAAAAAACCUAGGGAAUGUGGCUCUGCGCCUCGGUGUAGAGUGUUAUAGCCCUGGGGGAAUAC